GGAAACGAGGGUGCCGGAGCGGCGGAGAAAGGUGGGGGGGAAGGGGUGUCGGGGGUUGCUGGGGGUAAAGGGGGCGCAGGCGGCUUGCCGGGGUCCUGGUGAAAGGUCCCGGCUUAACCGGGAGAGGUUCAGGAAGACGGGUGGGCUUGAGCGUCGGAGAGGGGCAUGGAACUCCGGGUGGAGCGGUGAAAUGCGUAGAGAUCCGGAAGAACACCAAUGGCGAAGGCAGUGCCCUGGCCGACUGCUGACGCUCAGGCGCGAAAGCGUGGGGAGCAAACAGGAUUAGAUACCCUAGUAGUC
rnacentral:rRNA from 1 species